rnacentral:rRNA from 1 species
UACAGAGGGUGCGAGCGUUGUUCGGAAUACUGGGCGUAAAGCGCGCGCAGGCGGCCUUUUAAGUCUGACGGUGAAAUGCCGGGGCUCAACCCCGUGCCCGCCGCGGAUACUGGGAGGCUGGAGACAUGUAGAGGCAAGCGGAAUUCCGGGUGUAGCGGUGGAAUGCGUAGAGAUCCGGAAGAACACCGGAGGCGAAGGCGGCUUGCUGGGCAUUGUCUGACGCUGAGACGCGAAAGCGUGGGGAGCGAACAGG